UGCCAGAUGGCUAUUUGUUAAGUGCGCAUCGCCUUAUCAUAUAAUGUAUCAAGAUAAAUAUAAUAUUUUGAAAACUACAUAUCAAGUUUUUUAGACUUAUAAAUUAGAAUGCUUCAUAACUAGUUUACUAUGUGUUUAUCACCUACAUAUAUAAUGUGUGUACUAGCAAACACCAUGUUUUGGAUGCUUUCAUGAAUAGAAAGAUUUGUCAAAGAAGAAAAGAAUCUAGGGAUAAGAAAAAAGGCUGCAU
rnacentral:lncRNA from 1 species